rnacentral:rRNA from 1 species
GACGAACGCUGGCGGCGUGCCUAAUACAUGCAAGUCGAACGCAGUGGGGACGGGUGAGUAACACGUGGGUAACCUCCCAUCAGAGGGGAUAACACUUGGAAACAGGUGCUAACGACCUACUGAAGUAGGGACCCGCGGUGCAUUAGCUAGUUGGCGAGGUAAAGGCUCCCCAAGGACACGAUGCAUAGCCGACCUGAGAGGGUGAUCAGCCACACUGGGACUGAGACACGGCCCAGACUCCUACGGGAGGCAGCAGUGGGGAAUCUUCGGCAAUGGGCGAAAGUCUGACCGAGCCACGCCGCGUGUGUGAAGAAGGUUUUCGGAUCGUAAAGCUCUGUUGUUAGGGAAGCCUUCUCUCCCCCGAAAGCCACGGCUAACUACGUGCCAGCAGCCGCGGUAAUAC